rnacentral:rRNA from 1 species
CCUACGGGAGGCAGCAGUGGGGAAUAUUGCACAAUGGGGGAAACCCUGAUGCAGCGACGCCGCGUGAGUGAAGAAGUUUUUCGGUAUGUAAAGCCCUAUCAGCAGGGAAGAAAAAAGACGGUACCUGACUAAGAAGCCCCGGCUAACUCCGUGCCAGCAGCCGCGGUAAUACGUAGGGGGCAAGCUUUAUCCGGAUUUACUGGGUGUAAAGGGAGAGUAGACGGGAUGGCAAGUCUGAAGUGAAAGCCCAGGGCUUAACCAUGGAACUGCUUUGGAAACUGUUAGACUAGAGUGCGGGAGAGGUAAGUGGAAUGCCUAGUGUAGCGGUGAAAUGCGUAGAUAUUAGGAGGAACACCAGUGGCGAAGGCGGCUUACUGGACAGUAACUGACGUUGAGGCGCGAAAGCGUGGGGAGCAAACAGGAUUAGAUACCCCUGUAGUC